rnacentral:SRP_RNA from 1 species
GCCAGGCAUGGUGGCGUGCGCCUGUAGUCCCAGCUACUCAGGAGCCUGAGGCACAAGAAUUGCUUGAACCUGGGAGUCGGAGGUUGCAGUGAGCCGAGAUCACGCCACUGCACUCCAGCCUGGGCGACAGAGCAAGACUCUGUCUCAAAAAAAAAAAAAAAAAUGUGUUCAACCUUUUUUUUUUUUCCUGAGGCAGAGUCUCGCUCUGUCGCCCAGGCUGGAGUGCAGUGGCAUGAUCUCGGCUCACUGCAACCUCCACCUCCCAGGCUCAAGCGAUUCUCCUGCCUCAG